GACGAACGCUGGCGGCGUGCUUAACACAUGCAAGUCGAACGGAAAGGCCCUGCUUUUGUGGGGUGCUCGAGUGGCUAACGGGUGAGUAACACGUGAGUAACCUGCCCUUGACUUUGGGAUAACUUCAGGAAACUGGGGCUAAUACCGGAUAGGAGCUCCUGCUGCAUGGUGGGGGUUGGAAAGUUUCGGCGGUUGGGGAUGGACUCGCGGCUUAUCAGCUUGUUGGUGGGGUAGUGGCUUACCAAGGCUUUGACGGGUAGCCGGCCUGAGAGGGUGACCGGCCACAUUGGGACUGAGAUACGGCCCAGACUCCUACGGGAGGCAGCAGUGGGGAAUAUUGCACAAUGGGCGGAAGUCUGAUGCAGCAACGCCGCGUGCGGGAUGACGGCCUUCGGGUUGUAAACCGCUUUCGCCUGUGACGAAGCGUGAGUGACGGUAAUGGGUAAAGAAGCACCGGCUAACUACGUG
rnacentral:rRNA from 1 species